rnacentral:lncRNA from 1 species
AAAAAAUGGGAUUAUUGAGAUUGAGAGGGUUAAGUUUGAGUUUGGAAGUGAGAGAGUGAAAGUGGUGAAGAGAGAUAUGAAGUUAUAAAAUAUAAUAAGGAAACAAAAGUAAAACAGAAAAUAAAAGGGUCUGUCCGCUCAGUUCGCGGGGCGAACAUGGUUUGCGCGCCGAACUUUGAGUUUCCAUUCAGUUCGCGGGGCGAAAGCUGUUCGCGGGGCGAACUGAAGGAAUUUUCAAAAAAAAAUAUUGGAAAUUGGAUUGACCUCCAUUCUACUCUCGAAAAA